AGAGUUUGAUCCUGGCUCAGAUUGAACGCUGGCGGUAUGCUUAACACAUGCAAGUCGAACGGAAACGAUGGUAGCUUGCUACCAGGCGUCGAGUGGCGGACGGGUGAGUAACGCGUAGGAAUCUGCCUGAUAGUGGGGGAUAGCCCAGAGAAAUCUGGAUUAAUACCGCAUAAUCUCUAUGGAGUAAAGGAGCCCUCUUCUUGAAAGGUUUCACUAUCAGAUGAGCCUGCGUAAGAUUAGCUUGUUGGUGAGGUAAAAGCUCACCAAGGCGACGAUCUUUAGCUGGUCUGAGAGGAUGAUCAGCCACACUGGAACUGAGACACGGUCCAGACUCCUACGGGAGGCAGCAGUGGGGAAUAUUGGACAAUGGGCGCAAGCCUGAUCCAGCAAUACCGCGUGUGUGAAGAAGGCCUGAGGGUUGUAAAGCACUUUCAAUUGUGAAGAAAAGCUAAUGGCUAAUACCCAUUAGCCUUGACGUUAACUUUAGAAGAAGCACCGGCUA
rnacentral:rRNA from 1 species